rnacentral:rRNA from 2 species
GGUUAAGUUAACAAGGGCGCAUGGUGAAUGCCUUGGCACUAGGAGCCGAUGAAGGACGGGACUAACACCGAUAUGCUUCGGGGAGCUGUACGUAAGCUAUGAUCCGGAGAUUUCCGAAUGGGGCAACCCAGCAGUUUUAAUCAACUGUUACCACUAGAUGAAUUCAUAGUCUAGUUGGAGGUAAACGCUGUGAACUGAAACAUCUCAUUAGCAGCAGGAAUAUAAAGAAAUUUCGAUUCCCUAAGUAGCGGCGAGCGAACGGGGAGCAGCCCAAACCAAAGUGCUUGCACUUUGGGGUUGUAGGACUGAACAUUUGAGUUACCAAAGAACUUGAUAGUCGAAGGAUUUGGGAAAAUCCGCCAUAGAUGGUGAUAGCCCAGUAGAUUAAAUCAAAUUCUCUCAGUUCAGGAUCCUGAGUACGGCGGAACACGUGAAAUUCCGUCGGAAUCCGGGAGGACCAUCUCCCAAGGCUAAAUACUACCUAGUGACCGAUAGUGAACCAGUACCGUGAGGGAAAGGUGAAAAGCACCCCGGGAGGGGAGUGAAAUAGUUCCUGAAACCAUGUGCCUACAAUAAGUCAGAGCGCGUUAAUGCGUGAUGGCGUGCCUUUUGUAGAAUGAACCGGCGAGUUAUGAUCCCGUGCAAGGUUAAGACUAAAAAGUCGGAGCCGUAGCGAAAGCGAGUCUGAAAUGGGCGUUUUGAGUACGAGGUUAUAGACCCGAAACCAGGUGACCUAUCCAUGUCCAGGUUGAAGGUGCGGUAAAACGCACUGGAGGACCGAACCCGUGUAAGUUGAAAAUUGCUGGGAUGAGGUGUGGAUAGCGGUGAAAUUCCAAACGAACUUGGAGAUAGCUGGUUCUCUCCGAAAUAGCUUUAGGGCUAGCCUCGGAAUUAGGAUCAUGGAGGUAGAGCACUAUUUGGACUAGGGGCCCGUCUUGGGUUACUGAAUUCAGAUAAACUCCGAAUGCCAUUGAUUCAUAUCCGGGAGUCAGACGAUGAGUGAUAAGAUCCACCGUCGAAAGGGGAACAGCCCAGACCAUCAGUUAAGGUCCCUAAAUGUAUGCUAAGUGGAAAAGGAUGUGGAGUUGCAUAGACAACUAGGAUGUUGGCUCAGAAGCAGCCACCAUUUAAAGAGUGCGUAAUAGCUCACUAGUCGAGUGAUCCUGCGCCGAAAAUGUACCGGGGCUAAGCAUACUACCGAAACCAUGGAUGCGACCAUUAGGUCGCGUGAUAGGAGAGCGUUCUAAGGGCGGUGAAGCAAGAUCGUGAGGACUUGUGGAGCGCUUAGAAGUGAGAAUGCCGGUAUGAGUAGCGAAAGAUAGGUGAGAAUCCUAUCCACCGAAUGACUAAGGUUUCCUGGGGAAGGCUCGUCCUCCCAGGGUUAGUCGGGACCUAAGUCGAGGCCGAGAGGCGUAGACGAUGGAUAACAGGUUGAGAUUCCUGUACUAGUUAAGUGCGUUUGAGCAAUGGAGGGACGCAGGAGGCUAAGAUGUGCAUUCUGUUGGAUUAGAAUGUCCAAGCAGUAAGUCUUGUGAAGAGUCAAAUGCUUUUCACUUUAAGGACAAGCUGUGAUGGGGAGCGAAAUUUAGUAGCGAAGCGUCUGAUGUCACACUGCCGAGAAAAGCUUCUAGUGAGUACUUAACUACCCGUACCGCAAACCGACACAGGUAGUCGAGGAGAGAAUCCUAAGGUGAGCGAGUGAACUCUCGUUAAGGAACUCGGCAAAAUGACCCCGUAACUUCGGGAGAAGGGGUGCUGAUCGCAAGAUCAGCCGCAGUGAAUAGGCCCAGGCGACUGUUUAUCAAAAACACAGGUCUCUGCAAAAUCGUAAGAUGACGUAUAGGGGCUGACGCCUGCCCGGUGCUGGAAGGUUAAAAGGAUGGGUUAGCUUCGGCGAAGCUCAGAAUUGAAGCCCCAGUAAACGGCGGCCGUAACUAUAACGGUCCUAAGGUAGCGAAAUUCCUUGUCGGGUAAGUUCCGACCCGCACGAAAGGCGUAACGAUCUGGGCACUGUCUCAACGAGAGACUCGGUGAAAUUAUAUUGUCCGUGAAGAUGCGGACUACCCGCGACAGGACGGAAAGACCCCAUGGAGCUUUACUGUAGCUUGAUAUUGAGUGUUUGUACAGCUUGUACAGGAUAGGUAGGAGCCAUAGAAACCGGAACGCUAGUUUCGGUGGAGGCGUUGGUGGGAUACUACCCUCGCUGUAUGACCACUCUAACCCGCACCACUAAUCGUGGUGGGAGACAGUGUCAGGUGGGCAGUUUGACUGGGGCGGUCGCCUCCUAAAAAGUAACGGAGGCGCCCAAAGGUUCCCUCAGAAUGGUUGGAAAUCAUUCGCAGAGUGUAAAGGCACAAGGGAGCUUGACUGCGAGACAGACAGGUCGAGCAGGGACGAAAGUCGGGCUUAGUGAUCCGGUGGUACCGUAUGGAAGGGCCAUCGCUCAACGGAUAAAAGCUACCCUGGGGAUAACAGGCUUAUCUCCCCCAAGAGUCCACAUCGACGGGGAGGUUUGGCACCUCGAUGUCGGCUCAUCGCAUCCUGGGGCUGUAGUCGGUCCCAAGGGUUGGGCUGUUCGCCCAUUAAAGCGGUACGCGAGCUGGGUUCAGAACGUCGUGAGACAGUUCGGUCCCUAUCCGUCGCGGGCGUAGGAAAUUUGAGAGGACCUGUCCUUAGUACGAGAGGACCGGGAUGGACAUACCUCUGGUGUACCAGUUGUGCCGCCAGGCGCAUCGCUGGGUAGCUACGUAUGGAUGUGAUAAACGCUGAAAGCAUCUAAGUGUGAAACACACCUCGAGAUGAGAUUUCCCAUUCCUUUAUGGAAGUAAGACCCCUGAAAGAUGAUCAGGUAGAUAGGUUAGAAGUGGCAGUGCGGUGACGCAUGAAGCGGACUAAUACUAAUCGGUCGAGGACUUAACCAA